rnacentral:misc_RNA from 1 species
GAUGAAGAACGCAGCGAAAUGCGAUAAGUAAUGUGAAUUGCAGAAUUCAGUGAAUCAUCGAAUCUUUGAACGCACAUUGCGCCCGCCAGUAUUCUGGCGGGCAUGCCUGUUCGAGCGUCAUUUCAACCCUCAAGACCCCGGGCCUGGCGUUGGGGAUCGGCGGAAGCCCCCUGCGGGCACAACGCCGUCCCCCAAAUACAGUGGCGGUCCCGCCGCAGCUUCCAUUGCGUAGUAGCUAACACCUCGCAACUGGAGAGCGGCGCGGCCACGCCGUAAAACACCCAACUUCUGAAUGUUGACCUCGAAUCAGGUAGGAAUACCCGCUGAACUUAAGCAUAUCAAUAAGCGGAGGA